rnacentral:rRNA from 1 species
UACGUAGGGGGCAAGCGUUGUCCGGAAUCAUUGGCGUAAAGCGGCGUGUAGGCGGUUCGGUAGUCGGACUGUGAAAGUCCAGGGCUACAACCCCUGGGAUGCCGGUCGAUACUGCCGGACUAGAGUUCGGAAGAGGCGAGUGGAAUUCCCGGUGUAGCGGUUGAAAUGCGCAGAUAUACGGGAGGAACACCUAUGGCGAAGGCAGCUCGCUGGGACGUUAACUGACGCUGGAGACGCGAAAGCGUGGGGGAGCGAAACAGGAUUGAGAA